rnacentral:sRNA from 1 species
UGAUAGGUGUUUUAUAUUUUAUCUCUUCCCAUUCCUUUUUGAUUUUUUACAGUGACCAUGCUUACCAUUUCUAUUAAGUAAAGGUUAAAUGUUAGUUUAACUAAGACUCCUUUGGCAUGCAUUUAGAGAAUAGGGAAUGUGUUCUUUUUGCUACAUACUGAUUUAUUUCCUUAAAAGUAAAAAGUCUUCUCAUUGCCCUGUAGCAAAGCUACUAAACACCUGCAGAAGGGACAGUGCUGAUACCUGAAAUGCAGAGUUCUCACCUCUUAAGCAUAGUUUAAAAGGCACAUCCUUGCCUUUCCUCCCUCACCAACUCAACCAAAGUGCUUCAUAUUAAGGAUCCCCCAAGUCUGCAUUUUAUUAAGUAUUGCAAGUGAUUGUCUUCUGAAAUUCAGUUUGAGAGUCACCCUUUGAUCUGAGAUUUCCCAUCCUGUGUAAGGACUGAAGCAUCUUCUAGGUUUCCUGUUUGUUUUAAGGUCUGUAACAACUGUGCAUCUGUAUCAUAUCCCAUUAUUAUCAGAAAUACUGACAGACACGUGAGCCUCUGGCUAAAAGUCACAUGCUCAGUGAAUACUCAGGGACUAUUUUCAGCUGCCCUGCUGUAUGAAUCUGUCCUCUGUCCAGCCCAGGAAGCACUGCUCUUCCAGACGGAAUCUAACAGUCCUGACAGAAGGCUCAUGGAAAACAGCCUUGGAUCAGAACAGAGGACUUAGUGAUUCUUCUCAGAGGCCUGCUCCAACUUGAGUUUUCAAAGAAUAACCUCUACUUAGACUGAUCAGUCAUCCUAAGAAGUUAGUGACUCAGCACCUUGUGUUCUGAGUGGUUGGUUCUUUUGAAAAGGUCAUUGUGUCAAGGAAUCCAGACAGUUUGAAUGCAAGCCAUAAUGUGGAAGGUACUCUUCGAUCUUUGGUUUCCUGUUGAUCAAACUUUGCAGUAAACCGGUGCUAGGUUUAAGAUUAGAGACAUAACAUCUUACUGAGUUAGCCUAGAAUGAGAGGCAGUUUUCAAACUUAGCAGAAGAACCUGGAGGGCUUGUUAAAAAACAGAUUUUUGACUCUACUGCCAAAUUUUGAAUUUCUUAAGUCUGGGGCCAGACCUAUGAACAUGCUGUACUUUCUAGCAGUUCCCUGGGACUGCUGGUGCCUCUGGUCCAGGAAUCAUGUACUGAGAACUUGGUACCUUUCUGACCCUGUUCUUUAGAACAGUAGUUUUCAACCUGUGUCUUUUAACCCCUUUGAGGGUCAAAUGACCCUUUCACAGGAGUCACAAAUCAGAUGUCCUACAUAUCACAUAGUUAGGAGAUAGUUAUAAAAUAGUGAAAAAAUAAUUUUAUGGUCGGGGGUCACCAUAGCAUGAGGAAGGCUGAGAACAACUGUAUUGGAUCCUCAGGAUAAGUUAGGGGUCAGUGGUAUUUCUCUGUAAGAAUUAAUGUAAGUUUCAUAGGGCAAACAUGGAAAGAUACUGUAUUAUCUACGAGAAUCUCAAAACUCCCCUCAUGCAAAUCUCACUAGCAUUAUUGUUUUCUACCUUGUUCCUCUUAGGUCAUAAGUUCCUUGCAUGUGUGUGCCCCCAACAAGCUGUCAGUGCCACCCCGUCCUGAGAUGGACUACACAUGAGGGUACAUGUUUUGGUAAAGGACAUUUUCAAUUAAGUCCUUAAAGCCUUCAGGGAUCUAAGGCCUGUCUUAGGACAAGUGGCGUGCUUCAGAGAACGGUCUGCCCAUGGCCACCCUCUCACCGCAUCAGAGCGAGGAUCUCUGAUCUGCUAAGCAGCAGUCAACUCCGCUAUGUAAAGCAAGCCUCCACGCUUCCUCCACUAUAUGCCCUGUUGCUGAUCAUUGCUUAGGAUAUCCUGGAGUGUGGAUUCAGUGUUUUGAACAACUAAUCUCUUCAUUUAUCCCAAUCUUUGGAAGAGAGUUUUUGAUGGGAAAUACAUUCUACCUCCUUCUGGGAGCAGUCAGUUCAAGACUGGAUUCCACUUGGCCAGGAAAAUUUUCAAAUCAAAGAAUAUUGGACUUUGACUUGAAAAUGAAAGAACCUUUGCACUUAGCUGCAUCCGCUCACCCCAUGAGGACCCCUGCCUUUCUCUUCUCUGUGCAGCAUCCUUGUGUCUUGCAAUCUUUCAGUACAUCCAUAGGGAAGAGCCUAGCAAUGGUCUGGUUUGACUAAGCUCACAUUUCCCCUUCUCCUUCUUGUUCCUUACACUCAGCUCUGCUGGCCUCUGCUGUCCCAUGCUGUUUCUUAUCCUGGGUGUAGAUUUGCUUUCCCUACCUCUGCCUGCCCUGCUUCUUUGUGUGACAGGUGCCUUCAUGUGACAGGUGCCUUCAUGUGACAGGUGCCUUCAUGUGACUGACAGGUGCCUUCAUGUGACAGGUGCCUUCAUGUGACAGGUGCCUUCAUGUGACAGGUGCCUUCAUGUGACAGGUACCUUCAUGUGACAGGUGCCUUCAUGUGACUGACAGGUGCCUUCAUGUGGCUGACAGGUGCCUUCAUGUGACUGACAGGUGCCUUCAUGUGACAGGUGCCUUCAUGUGACAGGUGCCUUCAUGUGACAGGUGCCUUCAUGUGACGACAGGUGCCUGGUGAGCCUCACCUCCACCCUGUCUUACUUAUUCUCUUCCCAGCUCUCAUUGCUUCCUGAAACAAUUAUUGCUUUGUAUUCUAUAUGCAUUUGCUUAUGGGGGAACAGUAGGGACUGUAGUACUGUGUCUGCACCUAGGUCAUUGUCUAGCAAACAGCAACAGUGCAACAAACAUUUGUUGCAUGAGCAAGUGACCGUGAGGCAAAAUGCCACCACUUAUAUGAACCCCGAGGGGUUUGGGAGUUCUCUGAAUGGGGUACAUCUCCAAACAAACCCAGAUCUACCUGCUUGGCACUCAGAAGAUCCAGUGACUCGGGGUUCUGUUGGGUGGCAAGUAAAAAUAUUUAUUUAGGAAACCAACAAACCAAAGAAGAUGAGCGUAAAGAACAUCCUCUUGCGCUCUGCUGUGAUAAAGGACUUAAAGGGGAGAGGGUAGAGCAGGUGCAACCCCUGGGCUGGACUCUACAUAGUGGACCUGAAAUGGGACGUUGAGAUUAACACUGGUCUUGGGUGCAAUCUCCUAGUUCAUUCCCCUGGAUUUAAUUCUAAACUGACAGCAUCCUCCAUCUCCCAUGCAACCCCCGUGAGAAUCAGCAGUACCGUGGCGUCAUGUAGUUGGCUGCCCAGAAUGCCUCCUCUGGAUUGGAGGCAGUGCUGGUGCAGGACAGGGAGGACAGGCGAAGGAUGGCAGUAAAUAAGGUGGACACCAGAGGCUCCUGCAGUGAGGCUGCUCACACCAGAAUGGCGUUAAUCAGGGGAUCUUUCUCCAUGAGCACUGUCAACAUUUACUUUCACUUCAUACAUUGGAUUUGCAUCUGAAAAGACUAAGUAUAAUCAACAUUUAAAGGAUAACACUCACAUUUGCAUCUGAUUGAGCAGACAUGUUAAGUAAUUUUAGCCUGGCUGUUGCUAAGAAACCAAUUAAUAAUGCUCCAUGAUUCAUUGAAAAUUGGAUUCUGUCUGCUUUCAUUUAACUUCACAAUUCAGCUACUAGUGCUAUACUUUUCUCCCUUGGCAAAUUGUGACAGACAAAUUAUCGUUUUACUACAUUUAUUUCUGUGAUUACAAUUGUUAGAUAUAUCUGUCAAUACAACUUCAAAGCUUUUCCUUUUUUAAUGCCAUAGGAUGGAAAGCUGGAUUUUAACUGUUGAUCAUUCUUUUCCUUUAUAGCUUGUGGGUACUAGGUUAUAUUUUUGUGAAGGUCUUCCAAAUUGUGGAUAACAAAAAAAAAAAAAUUAAAGCAAUCUUCCCUGCUCCAUAAUUGCCCUUUCUCUGUAUAGAGGCUAAUGGUUAGGAUAUUAGGCACGAUUCAGAAAGUGACAGACAGCUGAUUAAGCAUUCAGCUGCAUCGUAUGUUGUUCUUUCUUCCCAUGGUUCGUAGACUGUACCAGGUUCUGUCUUUUAUGCAAUACAUUUUGAUUUUUGUAAUUUUAUUUUAGAUGAUAGCUUCUCUUCUUUUGAACAAUAAAUGUUCCUUUUUGAAUAGUCAACUGGGUAGUUACAUUUAGGAGUAGCAGCACUUCAGUUUGAUGUUUUGUGGUAUUGAUCUGGUUAAAAUGCUCAUUAAGAGGCAAACUCGGUUGCUAUUCACAUGGAUUUGCAGUGUUUCCAGCUUGAUUUGGAUGAUUUGGACGAUGUACUCAGACGCAGCUAUUAUUCAGCCUAGUUAGUGGCAGCACACAAAGCCAAGCUCCAGAAGGCAAAGUAGCGUCUGCUUUUGUAUUUUAUGGUUCAGACCUUUGGAGUUUGGGUUCUGAAGAUAAAAUACAAAGGACAUAGAAUUUAAAAGUAACGUUUUGGUCUAGCCCCCUCUGUGUCACCAUGCCUUGUAGGAAUGUAAGCACUGGGUGGGGGAGUGUCCCAUUCUGGUCCCUCAAGAGCACAGGGAUCUCAGGGACCUUGUUUAAAUGACCUGUGGCUGCCCUGGCAUCCGAGACUCCCUUCUGAGGCUGCUCUCCUGACUUCCAUGUGUGCUGUUCCUUGCUGUGUUUUCCUACUGUCUGGUCUCUGCAUGCCAGUCCCAUAGCCUCCCAAGUCUCAGUCUCUUAAAAUUAAGAUUGAAUUUGGGCUAGCCCUAAAGGCCUUGCUGUAAUCUUCACUACCUCUGAAAGUCUGCCUGUCAGAGUUACAUUCUGGGCACAGGAAUUAGAACACAAUUUUAGGAAGGCGCUCUCAACCAAUAGCAGGCAUAUCACAUGUUGGCAACUCUCAUUCACUCUGUUCAGUUGUUGCUUAGGGGCCGGUGGUGGAGAUGUCCAGAAAGGAAGCAGAAAUCUGACUGACUUCUCUGUUCAGGUCAAAUAUGACCAGAAAGAGUUGAUUAAUCUUCUUCCUGCUUUUAUUAUUUUUUCCUUUUGGGACAUAUGCUGAAGCCACUUUUUCCUGACCUUACUUGAUUGGCCAUGUGGAGAUGUACCUGUCUCCAUACCUCUGCAGGGGCUCCUGACUCAAAGCAUGACUUAAACCGUGAAUGCUGUCACUGUGUGACGGUGCUGGCUAGCUGAUACUUGGGAUGAGCCUGCUGUGGAGCUGAGACCUUGUCUCAUCUGUUCAGACUUGAAGACAGGUAAUGGAAGACAGGCCUCAUGGACAUCUUAUGUCCAGCCAUCUCCAGCCUGUGUCUUCUUCCAUGCAUAUAUGGGAGGGCCCCUUAAAUCUGCCCUCUGUCUGGAUGUCACCAUGAUCACAGGAACCAAUCCCAUUUGCAGAAGAGUCAUGAACAUGCUCCAGCCCUAGGUCUGGGUCACCAGUUCCUGUCAGACUGACCCAGGUCACUGUGGUGAGUUCUGGAAUUAGGGUCAGAUAAUCACACGAGCCGCUGCAGAGGAUGUUCCAGAUGCGGUGGCUGUGUGGGAAGUUAGGUAGAAGACGUCCUGUUCUAGAAGAAGGCAUGAGUCUGGUGGAAGGUCUCACGUGGCUAGACACACUUUCAUUUCUCUCACAAAGGAAGAUGCUAGUUGUAGGUUUAAAACUGGAGCGUAGAAUGGUUUCAUUUCCCCCUGAUUUUAAUAAUUCAUUGAAGUAAGCAGAAAUAAGCAUCUCUACUCGGUGGCUUGCUGCUAGGUUAAAAAUCUUUUAUUUCAGUUUUUCAUGAAUACAAAGAAUAUUCUUUGGUCUUGAAACCUUUUCUUUCCAUGUGAAUAUUGGCUCCAGGUCAGCCUAUAGGUCUCAAGCUCUCAACUUGGAGAAAAAUUGUGACAGCUUCUACAGUCAUUGAACUCACCCAUCCUAGAUGACUGGAACACAGAAGGGUGAUCACAGGUUGACGAUAUAAAUUUAAUUGUGAGCUAUGGGGCGGCUGCCUGAAACAGUGCAUGCAGUGUUUGACCUGAUGCAUGUGAUUUCGUGUAUUUGGCUCAUUUAAACAGGAUCUGUGUUCUGCCAGACCAGACCCCACAGAGAAAUGUAAGAACAUGAGGCCUUAGAUACUGGUUAUAUGUAUACACCUAUACCUCUGUUACAUUUAACUUUCUUUUAAGCUAAAAGAAAAGAUAUAAUGGCUUUUCACAUUUAGGAGACUGGGGAAGCAUGGGUGAGCACUGGUUGUAAUUUCAGUGUGCAUGAGUGUGAGGAUGAAAGUUUGAUAACACCUGUCUCCUUGAAUGUGGACCACAGGAAAGGGUAGCAUUGAUAUGGACACGGAGCUGUGUGGAAACCGUCACGUUCACACAUCAUGGUACACCUCACAGCCUUGUGUAUGACUUCUAGACACUACCAGGCGGUUCCCGUUAUGUAGUUGGGGAGUUGUGUUUUGUAUUGUAGAUACUAUGAUUGUAUCUCUAUUUUAUCACUACAUGGGUGUACCAGCCUCCCCGGGCAGCCCGUGACCAGAGGAGGCUGAAAGAGACCCUGAGUUUCAUAAAGAUAAGAAGAGUAGCAGGGAACUCUGUCACUUGGAAUUUGUGGAUUUGGGGUUUAAUUUACUAGCAUCAAUGAGACUCUCAAGAGAUGGGUAGGAAUGGAAAUAAUUGAGAAUGUCAAAAUCUUGUUUGAAAUACCUUCAUGUGUGCCUGUCGUGCAGCAUGUAUACACUCUAGCAUUAGACCCACCGCUCACAAACAUGCACACAAACACUCAUGAGAUCUCCUUUUCAGUCAUGACAUGUGUGGGACUGAUGUCACUGUCCUCAGUCAGCAAGGACAUGCUUUAUGCAUGGAACUGGGCCUAGUGAAUAUUUACCUGAAUAUAUCAGAGGUGGAGUCUGUUUCUCACACUGUUCAAAUAAAAUUCAGCUUGCUGUAUUCCUUUAAUAUAAUGACUAAUAGUUAUUAAAAAGAAUUCUAACAAAGAAAAACAUGAGAAAAUCAGAAUAAGAAUAGAAAAUGUUUAAUCUACCUCACUUGUAAAAAGUGAAAAUUUUUAUGUGUAACUGGCUUGGUAUUUAGGAUCAAACCCAGGGCUUCAUACAUUAUACCAAUACUGAUAUUUUUAACAAAGAUUUUAAAGUAUGACUAUGUAUCUGUACCUGUUUAAAAUGCAAAAGAACUGUGAAAACAUGGACAAUGUCCUUUAUAGUCCUGAACUGUAAGGGAUUCUUAUCUGGGACUUAAAAUUCAAAAACCAUAAAAGGAAUAAAUAAAUAAAUUUGAUUCAAUUUAAAAGUUUUUACAUGAUAAAAAACACAGUAAACACAUUCAAAACAUAUGAAAAUCUGUCUGUAGAAAACACACCUCCGGAUGAGUGUGAGCACCCUGCCCCAGGCCAGGCCAGUGAUGGGAGCCAGUUGUCCACACGGAACUGCACUGUCGUCUUUUAAAUCUAAAAUGUAUGUUGCCCAUGAAGUAGAGAGGUGUGAAUUGAAGCUGUGAAGGACUAGCACUUUUUAUUUUAUCUGAAAAAUUCUAAAGAACGACGGUUGUAUCAUUGGCCUGGUAGGGAACAUCUGCACUGUAUUUCUGUGGGAACUCAGAUGGCACAGCCCUAGUGAAGGCAGAGUUGCUGUACCUCGCAGGGUAUGUGCAGUGACUCUUUGACUCAGUCUGGCACCAACAGGUUUCCUGUUGACACACGUAUCUGAAUGCAUAUAACAUGGCACACAAAGGAGGUUGUCCACCAGGCCAUUGUCUGGACUAGAAAACAUUGGAAGUGAUCCAGGAUCCAUUAGUUAAGAGGUGCAUAAGUAAAUCAUGAUCCAUCCAUGCAGUGGGACACUGGGUGGCGAUGCAGAGUCACUAGAUAGAAAGCAAGGUGUAAAACACAGCAUGUAGGAUGCUGCCUUUGGUGUAGAAAGGAGGCAAAGUUUGACCACGUGUUCGUAUCUUCUUGUAUCUGCAGGAGAAACGCUGGGUGUCCAUGUAGGUUAGCACUUGAAUGGAAAGCCAGAAGAGCAGCUGCUCUAUUGAGUGGCUGGAUACGGUAGAAACAACAUCGUGCUCUAUUGUAAUUUUUUUUAUUUUUGAACUGUGUAAAUUAUUUCCUAGUCAAAUUAAGUUUUCGAAGUCACACCACAUUUUUAAAAAAUUAAUUUCAGAUAUAUAUAUUGUCCUGUGAUCAAAUCCAUCCACUAAUUGCCUUCUUUUAUCCUUCCCCAUGCCUGCUGACCCAACUAGUCUCUUUCAUACUGUUACGUACUUUCAUUUUCCUUUGUGACCCACUGAGUUCAAUUAGGUUUGCUUGUGUGAUCAUGGGUAGGGAGUUACUGGAGCAUGGACUACUUACCAGUGGCUACACCACUCAAGAAAAUCACCUUCUUUUUUCCAGCAACCAUUAACUGCCAAUAGCUCAUCAGGAACAGAUGGGCCUCAUAAGCCCCUCUCUUGUUUGUAUUGAUAGCCCAAUCUUGUGAAAUCUUGAACAGAUAAUAGCGGCUACUUGGGCUCAUGGGUGUGGGCCAUAUUCCUGUCCAAAGGACAGCAUUGCAUAGCACUUUUCACAUCCAAAGGCACUCAUACUUCCCCAGCCACUGCCACAUUGUUCUGUAGGCCUUAGAAGGAUUAGUGCAGAUCUUCUUCUUAGGACUGAGCACAGAACUGUCACUUCUUCUUAGCGCUAUGAACAAUAAUGAAUCUCGUCAUGAGAAGCUGCUUUGUCCAAAGUUGAGAGCAGCACUAAUCUAUGGGUAUAAACAAAAUGGCCACUUAGAAAAACAGGAAUAGUAGACUCCUCCCAACUCCAAGGGCCUCUGGUCUCCCCAGGAUUUUGGCCAGGUUUACAGAACCAAAUAUUAUUUUCUCUUCCAUGGAGCAGGCAUCAAGUCUAAGCAGAAAGUGGUUUUUCCCCAAACAGUCAUGCAGCUUUUAUACCAGGAGUCACAUCCUACAUUGUAGGUUGGUACUAUAGCACAGAUUUAUACCUAAGUGAAACCAAGGAUAACUUCUCUCCACACAACCUACAUAGGCACUGUGAACACUAACCAGUACAGGGAAACUCCAAGGCAAUUCCAUCUUGCUUUUUCUUUGUUCUUCAGCCACCAUCUAGUUCUAGGGGCAACCAAGAGCAAUGUCAGUAGCCUGUAUUGUUUGGGAUCCUCUGGGACCCUCAUGGACAGUACCUCAGAGGGAGGUAACCUGUACCUGGCACUUGGAUCUUUCGAAACUUUGUUUAAAAUCCUGUGGUUUUGGGCUGCAGAAAGGGCUUACCAUUAAGGUCAUAUACUGUUUUUACAAAGGACCAGAGUUGAGUUUCUAGUAGUUCUAGGGGUAUCUAACAUCUCUGGUCCCAUGGUCACAUGUACUCGUGUGCGUGCACCCACACAGAAACACAUAAUUAAUUAAUAAAGUAAAUCUUACAAACAAAAAUACAUUUUCUAGGAAGCAUUACCCACCUAUGCAGGACACAUCUUUUCAAACUUUCCCCCUACAAUUAUACUUCUUAGCUAGUAAGUGUGGCUUCCUCACACAUUCUUAGCUUGGAUGAAUGCUCACCCCACACCUUUCUCCCAUUGGCCCACCCCAUCUCCAUUUAAGUCUUUCAUUACCAGGCAACCCCUUCCCAACUGUUUUAUGUCACAUGAAGUCAGAUGUUUUUAAACUACACUUCAGUGGCGUUCUAACCUGAGAUUCAUCUGUUUGGAUCAUGGGCUGACUGGGAUAUAUGUGUUCUUUUUUCAAGCUGUGUUGUGGAGGCUGGUUACCGCUAACCACAAUGAGCUAUUGGCUACUGAAAUGUAGCUUGUCUGAAUUGAGAUGUGCUUGAGGUGUCUGUAAAUAGAGGUUAUAAACUACCUCACUCAUAAUUUUAAAGAUAUUGUUUGCAUGCUAAAUGAUACUGGUUUAUAUUGGGGACUUUAAGAUAUAUCAGUGAAUGAAUUCCUUCUUCCUACCUUGCAUGUGGCUACUAGAACAUUUACAGUUACACAGGACGCUUGCACUUUAUCCUGUCUGCAUGGUACAGAUGUAGCCUCUUGUCCAUUCUUAGUGUGUCUUCCAAAGCUACUUCAGAAUCAGAAGUACAACCCAAUCAUAAUCAUGUCAUCGCCUUAUCUUUCCUGUUUCUUAGAGACCAUUUUAACAGUCCAAAACACCUCCCUUACACAUCCCCACCUGCCCUCACACAAAGGCUGUUCUUUACUCCCUGGACUUCGAACUCCACAAAUGAGUUGUGCUUUCUAUUUGCAGUGUCUCGUCACCUCUGCCUCAUUGCCUAGGAAACUGCUCUGUCCUGUAGGCCCAGUUCCUGAGGCUCCAUUAGCAAAGCGUUCCUGGUUCCACUUCUCCCUCUUCUCAUCAUCCUCCUCCUUUUCUCCUUGUGGUGCUGGGUAUUGAAUUCAGAGCCUCAAAUAUGCUGGGGAAGUCCCCAUCCCAUUUUCUAGCAUCAACGUUGCCUGUGUUUAUGCUUAACAUUUGAUAGCAGUUACCUUAUGAGGUCCUAGAGCAGACCGAGUUCUUCAAAGGCAGGGCAUGUUCUGUUCCCUGUUUUGUGCUUCCAGAUCAUGAUCUUCUAGUAGAAUCUCUAAAAUGUCAUUAGGAAAAUUGAAAUUGGUCAUGUUUUUCCCUAGUUGCUUGGAGUACUUCUGUGUGGUCUGUUUACUGGAGAAAAGCAAGCUUGAGCUCAUAGAUCUUCCUUGGUUAAGGACAAAUUUCUUUGGAGCAUUUUGACUUUACAAGAGCAGCUUCUCCACCAGAAAACAACAGCUAGCAGACUGCAGAGACUACAGGAGCCUGCCUGGAGGCUGCAGUGGAUUCUAGUUUCCAGGUUGGGCGUAGACUAGAAACAGAGAGAGGUAUUUGUGUUCAAUUCCAACAGCAGGUUUCUCCAACCUGGCUGUAUGCCCAUGCUUGCAGAAGGUAAAUAUGGCAGGUGGUGGCUAAGAGGUGGAGGGCAGCCAGAUCUAGGAGGGCUGCAAGCUGGAGUCAUGAAGUUCCCUGUGGGCUUUUUACUGGCCUCUCAAUUCAGUGACCCUCUCUGUGGAGAGUUGUUCCUGAUAUUAAUCUUCCCCUCACCCUUCACUUCUGCUCCUAGGGAUUUGAACUUUUGUUCAAAAGAAAAAUGAGAAACAGAGAACAGAACACCCAAGACCCAUACAAAGAUUUUUAGAAAGAAAACUCAGAACUACAAACAAAACAAAACAAAACAAAACAAACCUCUAUCCCUUAGCUGGGUAAACUGAAAGGUUUGUCCUUGCAUCCAUAUUUCUGGAGGCCUGUAGUGUUGAGGCCUGUGUAUCUCUGACAUGAGGCUCUAGUUACUUUAAGCAGCCAAUGCUGCCUGUGUGCCUCUUAGGCUGAAAAGAUAUUAUCAGCUGAUAACUCUUUCUCUAGCAUUCCUGCAAGUGCUAGUAAUGUUGUGGAAAGUGCUAGAAAAACUGGCUACCACUGACCUAGUGCCUAGAGUUUAGUCAAGUUACCUCAUGUCUGAAAGUUUUGUGGUUCAGUAAGAUGUGAACAGACUCUGCCUUAUGAGCAUACAGA